CCUACGGGAGGCAGCAGUGGGGAAUUUUGGACAAUGGGCGCAAGCCUGAUCCAGCAAUGCCGCGUGCAGGAUGAAGGCCUUCGGGUUGUAAACUGCUUUUGUACGGAACGAAACGGUCUGCUCUAAUACAGUGGGCUAAUGACGGUACCGUAAGAAUAAGCACCGGCUAACUACGUGCCAGCAGCCGCGGUAAUACGUAGGGUGCGAGCGUUAAUCGGAAUUACUGGGCGUAAAGCGUGCGCAGGCGGUUAUAUAAGACAGAUGUGAAAUCCCCGGGCUCAACCUGGGACCUGCAUUUGUGACUGUAUAGCUAGAGUGCGGCAGAGGGGGAUGGAAUUCCGCGUGUAGCAGUGAAAUGCGUAGAUAUGCGGAGGAACACCGAUGGCGAAGGCAAUCCCCUGGGCCUGCACUGACGCUCAUGCACGAAAGCGUGGGGAGCAAACAGGAUUAGAUACCCUGGUAGUCCACGCCCUAAACGAUGUCAACUGGUUGUUGGGUCUUCACUGACUCAGUAACGAAGCUAACGCGUGAAGUUGACCGCCUGGGGAGUACGGCCGCAAGGUUGAAACGUCAAAGGAAUUGACGGCGNGAGAGNGCGACGGACGACGACGAGGGAGGAGG
rnacentral:rRNA from 1 species